UGGGGAAUUUUGGACAAUGGGGGAAACCCUGAUCCAGCCAUCCCGCGUGUGCGAUGAAGGCCUUCGGGUUGUAAAGCACUUUUUGCAGGAAAGAAACGUCAUGGGUUAAUACCCCGUGAAACUGACGGUACCUGCAGAAUAAGCACCGGCUAACUACGUGCCAGCAGCCGCGGUAAUACGCAGGGUGCAAGCGUUAAUCGGAAUUACUGGGCGUAAAGCGUGCGCAGGCGGUUCGGAAAGAAAGAUGUGAAAUCCCAGAGCUCAACUUUGGAACUGCAUUUUUAACUCCCGGGCUAGAGUGUGUCAGAGGGAGGUGGAAUUCCGAGUGUAGCAGUGAAAUGCGUAGAUAUGCGGAGGAACACCGAUGGCGAAGGCAGCCUCCUGGGAUAAAACUGACGCUCAUGAACGAAAGCGUGGGGGGCAAACAGG
rnacentral:rRNA from 1 species